rnacentral:rRNA from 1 species
AAUCGUACCCCAAACCGACACAGGUGGUCAGGUAGAGAAUACCAAGGCGCUUGAGAGAACUCGGGUGAAGGAACUAGGCAAAAUGGUGCCGUAACUUCGGGAGAAGGCACGCUGGCAUGUAGGUGAAGUCCUUCGCGGAUGGAGCUGAAGCCAGUCGAAGAUACCAGCUGGCUGCAACUGUUUAAUAAAAACACAGCACUGUGCAAACACGAAAGUGGACGUAUACGGUGUGACGCCUGCCCGGUGCUGGAAGGUUAAUUGAUGGGGUCAGCCGCAAGGCGAAGCUCUUGAUCGAAGCCCCAGUAAACGGCGGCCGUAACUAUAACGGUCCUAAGGUAGCGAAAUUCCUUGUCGGGUAAGUUCCGACCUGCACGAAUGGCGUAAUGAUGGCCAGGCUGUCUCCACCCGAGACUCAGUGAAAUUGAACUCGCUGUGAAGAUGCAGUGUACCCGCGGCAAGACGGAAAGACCCCGUGAACCUUUACUAUAGCUUGACACUGAACAUUGAGCCUUGAUGUGUAGGAUAGGUGGGAGGCUUUGAAGCGUGGACGCCAGUCUGCGUGGAGCCAUCCUUGAAAUACCACCCUUUAAUGUUUGAUGUUCUAACUCGGCCCCAUAAUCUGGGGUGAGGACAGUGUCUGGUGGGUAGUUUGACUGGGGCGGUCUCCUCCCAAAGAGUAACGGAGGAGCACGAAGGUUAGCUAAUCACGGUCGGACAUCGUGAGGUUAGUGCAAAGGCAUAAGCUAGCUUGACUGCGAGAGUGACGGCUCGAGCAGGUACGAAAGUAGGUCUUAGUGAUCCGGUGGUUCUGAAUGGAAGGGCCAUCGCUCAACGGAUAAAAGGUACUCCGGGGAUAACAGGCUGAUACCGCCCAAGAGUUCAUAUCGACGGCGGUGUUUGGCACCUCGAUGUCGGCUCAUCACAUCCUGGGGCUGAAGUAGGUCCCAAGGGUAUGGCUGUUCGCCAUUUAAAGUGGUACGCGAGCUGGGUUUAGAACGUCGUGAGACAGUUCGGUCCCUAUCUGCCGUGGGCGUUGGAAGAUUGAGAGGGGUUGCUCCUAGUACGAGAGGACCGGAGUGAACGCACCACUGGUGUUCGGGUUGUCAUGCCAAUGGCAUUGCCCGGUAGCUAAGUGCGGAAAAGAUAAGCGCUGAAAGCAUCUAAGCGCGAAACUUGCCUCAAGAUGAGUCUUCCCUGGACCUUUAAGGUCCCUGAAGGAACGUUUAAGACUAAGACGUUGAUAGGCUGGGUGUGUAAGUGCAGCGAUGCAUUGAGCUAACCAGUACUAAUGAUCCGUGAGGCUUAACCUU